UGAGGAAUAUUGGUCAAUGGGCGGGAGCCUGAACCAGCCAAGCCGCGUGAGGGAAGAAGGCCCUAUGGGUCGUAAACCUCUGUUGUCAGGGAACAAAAGCGAGUAUGUAUACUGGUCUGAGUGUACCUGAAGAAAAAGCAUCGGCUAACUCCGUGCCAGCAGCCGCGGUAAUACGGAGGAUGCGAGCGUUAUCCGGAUUUAUUGGGUUUAAAGGGUGCGUAGGCGGCGGUGCAAGUCAGCGGUAAAAGUCCGGGGCUCAACCCCGGCGAGCCAUUGAAACUGCAGUGCUAGAGAAGGCGAGAGGUACGCGGAAUGCGCAGUGUAGCGGUGAAAUGCUUAGAUAUUGCGCAGAACUCCGAUUGCGAAGGCAGCGUACUGGCGCCUGACUGACGCUGAGGCACGAAAGCGUGGGGAUCGAACAGGAUUAGAUACC
rnacentral:rRNA from 1 species